rfam:Stegodyphus mimosarum contig105346, whole genome shotgun sequence.
GCCUUCGUGGUAUAAUGGUAGCACACUCCGCUCACAUUUGAGAGGUCCAGGUUCGAGUCCUGGCGAGGGCA